UUGAAUUCAAAGUAUCAAGAAAGGAUUCGCGACUCUCAUCAUUCACACAGCUUUACUAAAUUCUGAGAAGGAGCAUCAAUGGACGAGCCGAAACCCGUGCCCCAGACCCAGAGCAGGAAGAGACCUCUUCCGCACUCCCCCUAUUACAAGAUGCGUCAACUUCUCAAAGACCUUCGCCCCCAUUUCAUCGACGUCCGGUUUUUUAUUUUGUCGAUUUCUCUUGCCAUCGACGUCUACUUUUCUAUUCUUGCUGAAAUCAUUUGUCUCCAACGCAAUGGUUAUAGUAGUUCGUGUGUAUCUCGACGUGCUAAUGGUUUCUUCAGUUUCAGUUUUCCGCAUAUAGACUAAAUUCUUAGUCUUCAAUUUGCUUUCUCAGCAUAAUAGUUAAUAAUUAAUCGACUAAUUGACUGUGGAUGAAAUGUUAGAUUCUUAGUUGAAUCUUGGAAAGUAACAACUGUUUUUGAAGAGUAGUUAGAGCUUGAUCUUCUUGAAUCAGUAGACAGUAAUGUUACAUCAAGCAAAGGGAUCAUUGAAGAAGAUUACCAUAAUGUACAAACUCCCUUUAUUUCCCCUUUCCGCAUAAACAUGCAAUAACGAAAGUCAACAGUGCUUGUAUCUGCAAUGCCUCGGUGCUUUGGGAACGGACAGAUUAGAAAGAAAGUUUUUCUUCAAGUAUGUGUUCUCUUUCGAUAUGGCUUCUUUUACUGAAGUUUCGUAAGCUUUUGAAAAGGCAUGUUUGAGGUAUUUAUCUUUAUGCAUGAGUAUUACAGUGAAUCUUAUGAAUAAACUCAGUUCUUGGAUGGACUAGAUAUCCUUAUGUAUGAUUAUGACAACAAAUGUUGAUCUGGGUAUGGAGUGUGGACUUGGUUAGUUCAUACAAUUAGAGGUUGAAAAUUCGGAAUAUUAGUUGGAAGUUGCUCCCUAAGGAGACUUAUUCCGUUUAGCCAUUUUCUUUGUUUAGUUUUAUCAAAGUGGUUGCAGAGGUAUGGAAACUGCUUAUUAUGUGAGAAAAAAUGGAGCUUAAUUGUUAUGAGUAUAUUCAAUAAAAAAAUUGCUGGCUAUGGUUUGUAGUGUUUUAUAUUAAGAGAGAAAAAAUUCACAUUAAGUUUGUUGUUGCUAACUAAGCUAGUUAAUUCCAUUUCUAAAGUACCUACUAAUAUUCUUGUAGAGAGUGAGCUCAUUAAGUGCAUGGCCUGAUAAUUUUGUGAUGUGUGCAAUCUUGCUGGUGCUUAAGACCCCUGACUUUCGAAAUUGACAAGCAGCUGAUGAAAUCCGUCAAGGGAUGAAGCUUCUGAUGGAACUGUACCAAGAGACGACAGAAAAGGCUGUUAAGCUGGAAAAAUGCAGCAACGGUGACAAUGCCGAUGCCAAGAAAGCAGUGAAACCUGCUGACAAUCCUCUGCUGGACGAUGUUAUGUCUGCCCUGCCUCCAGAAACUCAGGAACAAAGAACACUCAUCGUUGGGGGCUCUGCUUUCGGGUGGAAUUUCAUAACAUGCCAUAGCAGAAGAGCUGUCUACUACGGGCGAACAAAAGAAGCUUUUCGGGCACUAAAUCCCAAGUCUAGCUGAAUGUGGAACUAAUGAUAGUGUAACAUGUGUUAGGAUAAUGUACCAGUUUAUGUCAGAAGCUAUAUUUUGCAGGUUUCUAUCUUCAAUGUAGAGAAAAUUGUUGGAAAUUUGUAUUGAUGUAUUCUGCGUUCAUUCUUUGUA